rnacentral:rRNA from 1 species
UGGGGAAUUUUGGACAAUGGGCGAAAGCCUGAUCCAGCAAUGCCGCGUGCAGGAAGAAGGCCUUCGGGUUGUAAACUGCUUUUGUACGGAACGAAAAGGCUCUUUCUAAUAAAGGGGGCUCAUGACGGUACCGUAAGAAUAAGCACCGGCUAACUACGUGCCAGCAGCCGCGGUAAUACGUAGGGUGCGAGCGUUAAUCGGAAUUACUGGGCGUAAAGCGUGCGCAGGCGGUUCUAUAAGACAGAUGUGAAAUCCCCGGGCUCAACCUGGGAAUGGCAUUUGUGACUGUAGAGCUAGAGUACGGUAGAGGGGGAUGGAAUUCCGCGUGUAGCAGUGAAAUGCGUAGAUAUGCGGAAGAACACCGAUGGCGAAGGCAAUCCCCUGGACCUGUACUGACGCUCAUGCACGAAAGCGUGGGGAGCAAACAGGAUUAGAUACCCCCGUAGUCCCUGAGCGGGCUGGCAAGGCG